GUUUGUUCCCUCCAGAUCUCAUGUUGAAAUGUAAUCCCCAGUGUUGGAGGAGGGGCCUCGUGGGAGGUGUUAGGGUCCUGGAGGUGGAUCCCUCAUGAGCGGCUUAGCACUAUCCCCUCGGUGAAGACUGAGUUUUCAGUUCAUGCGAGAUCUGAUUGUUUAAAAGAGUGCAGCACUUCCUCCACCUUGCUCCCUCUCUUGCCACUGAUGUGCCUGCUUCCCCUUCACCUUCUGCCUGGAUUGUAAGCUCCCUGAGAACCUCACCAGAAGCAGAUGCCAGCACCACGCUUCCUAUACAGCCUGCCAAAAUCAUCCCGCCUCCAGAGCCCUGUGGGUUGAAGACCGCUGUGCUCUUUUCUUUCGGCUUCACACGCUGGUUAGUCUUCUGUUUGCUUUGUCAGCACGGUACUUUUCAUUUCCUUCGUGGUGUUUUUAGGAGCUCCUGAAUUUCACAGACAAAUCCAGACCCCUGUGUGGAAAGCCUGCGGUGGUGUUCUCCGUCUUCCCACAGGACUCCCUGCAGCCAGGAAUUCUAGGGGAGCACCUGACGCGAGGUAUACGCCCAGAUGGCCUGAAGUAACUGAAGAAUCACAAAAGAAGUGAAAAUGUCCUGCCCCGCCUUAACUGAUGACAUUCCACCACAAAGGAAGUGUCAAUGGCUGGUCCUUGCCUUAACUGAUGACAUUCCACCGCAAAAGAAGUGAAAAUGGCCGGUCCUUGCCUUAACUGAUGACAUUACACCACAAAAGAAGUGAAAAUGGCCGGUCCUUGCCUUAAGUGAUGGCAUUACCUUGUGAAAGUCCUUUUCCUGGCUCAUUCUGGCUCAAAAUCACCCCCACUGAGCACCUUGUGACCCCCACUCCUGCCCGCCAGGGAACAAUCCCCCUUUGACUGUAAUUUUCCUUUACCUACCCAAAUCUUAUAAAAUGGCCCCACCCCUAUCUCCCUUUGCUGACUCUCUUUUUGGACUCAGCCUGCCUGCAUCCAGGUGAUUAAAAG
rnacentral:lncRNA from 1 species